rnacentral:rRNA from 1 species
UACGUAGGGCGCAAGCGUUGUCCGGAAUUAUUGGGCGUAAAGAGCUCGUAGGCGGCUUGUCACGUCGGGUGUGAAAGCCCGGGGCUUAACCCCGGGUCUGCAUUCGAUACGGGCAGGCUAGAGUGUGGUAGGGGAGAUCGGAAUUCCUGGUGUAGCGGUGAAAUGCGCAGAUAUCAGGAGGAACACCGGUGGCGAAGGCGGAUCUCUGGGCCAUUACUGACGCUGAGGAGCGAAAGCCAGGGGAGCGAACGGG